rnacentral:rRNA from 1 species
GGAGUUAGCCGGUGCUUCUUCUGUGAGUGAUGUCCUUCCUGCCGGUUAUUGACCCGCAGGCCUUCUUCCUCACUGAAAGUGCUUUACAACCCGAAGGCCUUCUUCACACACGCGGCAUGGCUGGAUCAGGGUUGCCCCCAUUGUCCAAUAUUCCCCACUGCUGCCUCCCGUAGGAGUCUGGGCCGUGUCUCAGUCCCAGUGUGUCUGAUCAUCCUCUCAGACCAGCUACGGAUCGUCGCCUUGGUGAGCCGUUACCUCACCAACCAGCUAAUCCGACAUAGGCUCAUCCGAUAGCGCGAGGCCCGAAGGUCCCCCGCUUUCCCCCGUAGGGCGUAUGCGGUAUUAGCCUGGGUUUCCCCAGGUUAUCCCCCACUACCGGGCAGAUUCCUAUGCAUUACUCACCCGUCCGCCGCUCGCCACCAGGGAGCAAGCUCCCCGUGCUGCCGCUCGACUUGCAUGUGUUAGGCCUGCCGCCAGCGUUCAAUCUGAGCCAGAAUCGAACCCUGA